GCGCCGGGUGGACGGCACGGUGGAACGUCUGGGCGACGGCGGCCCCCCGGUUGGAAUGUUGCCGGACGUUCAGUUCGAAUGCAGAACGGUGCGCC
rnacentral:tRNA from 1 species